rnacentral:sRNA from 1 species
AAGCGACUGGAGCACGGGUCAAGUUUUCCCCAGAGGCGUCGGAAUGGACCUGUGCCACCCAGAGCCCGCGGAGCUGAGCAGCGGGGAGACGGAAGAGUUACAGAGGAUCAAGUGGCACCGAAAGCAGCUCCUGGAGGACAUCCAGAAGCUGAAGGAUGAGAUCGCAGAUGUGUUUGCCCAAAUCGACUGCUUCGAGAGUGCGGAGGAGAGCCGGAUGGCCCAGAAGGAGAAGGAGCUGUGUAUUGGGCGCAAGAAGUUCAACAUGGACCCCGCCAAGGUAGGUGGCUGUGGAGGGCCCGGGCCACAGGGUGUGGGGGCUGCAUGGGAGCACCUGCCCGGUGUCCUCUCGCUCCCCUCGGCUGACACGACCCCUUUCCAGAGGAGGAAGCUGGGCCCAGCAGAGCUGAGCAUCUUGUCCAGUGCCCCAUGGCCAGGUGUGGCUGGGCGCCCUGUCUACUCCCAGGCAUACACGCCCUGGGGCAGGAGGAGCCAGGAGCAUGGAGGAGGCCACGGUGUCCAUGCACUUGGCCUAGUCCCUUCCCCACUCUGGGCCUCCAUUUCCUUCUCCAUGAAUGUGGCUUGGGACAGUGGAGCUCUUGGAUCUGGGGCUUAGGCUCCAGAAGCAUCUUCCAGCCCUGGGCUCAGGGAGGGCCAGUCCUGCGGUCCCACCACCCACCCCUCUGCUAGUAGGAGCAGCAGCUCAGGGCUGGGUUACCUCGAUCCCCCACACCACUCCCAAGCCCGUGGCCUCACCCCACCAGGUGGCAGCUGGGCUUCCAUCCUGAAAGGACGGAGACAGAAGGAAACCGCAGGCA